rnacentral:rRNA from 1 species
AGAACGAACGCUGGCGGCAUGCCUAAUACAUGCAAGUCGAACGAACUCUUCGGAGUUAGUGGCGCACGGGUGCGUAACGCGUGGGAAUCUGCCCUUGGGUUCGGAAUAACAGUUGGAAACGACUGCUAAUACCGGAUGAUGACGAAAGUCCAAAGAUUUAUCGCCCAGGGAUGAGCCCGCGUAGGAUUAGCUAGUUGGUGAGGUAAAGGCUCACCAAGGCGACGAUCCUUAGCUGGUCUGAGAGGAUGAUCAGCCACACUGGGACUGAGACACGGCCCAGACUCCUACGGGAGGCAGCAGUAGGGAAUAUGGACAAUGGGCGAAAGCCUGAUCCAGCAAUGACCGCGUGAGUGAUGAAGGCCUUAGGUUGUAAAGCUUACUUUACCCGGAGUAUGAUAAUGACAGUAGUCGGUAGAAGUAAGCCCGGAUAACCGUCCGUAGCCCAGCAGCCGACGGU